rnacentral:rRNA from 1 species
CCUACGGGUGGCAGCAGUGGGGAAUAUUGCACAAUGGGGGAAACCCUGAUGCAGCGACGCCGCGUGAGUGAAGAAGUAUUUCGGUAUGUAAAGCUCUAUCAGCAGGGAAGAAAUAGCGACCUUUGGGUCGCCAGACGGUACCUGAUUAAGAAGCCCCGGCGAACUACGUGCCAGCAGCCGCGGUAAUACGUAGGGUGCAAGCGUUAUCCGGAUUUACUGGGUGUAGAGGGAGCGUAGACGGCAGCACAAGUCUGAAGUGAAAUGCCGGGGCUUAACCCCGGAACUGCUUUGGAAACUGUGCAACUGGAGUGCAGGAGAGGUAAGUGGAAUUCCUAGUGUAGCGGUGAAAGGCGUAGAUAUUAGGAGGAACACCAGUGGCGAAGGCGGCUUACUGGACUGUAACUGACGUUGAGGCUCGAAAGCGUGGGGAGCAAACAGGAUUAGAUACCCUGGUAGUC